CUUGAACCCUAUAAGAGGUCCAGCCUGCCCAGUGAAACAAUUCAACGGCCGCGGUAUCCUAACCGUGCGAAGGUAGCGUAAUCACUUGUUCUCUAAAUCAGGACUAGUAUGAACGGCAUCACGAGGGUUAUACUGUCUCCUUUUUCCAAUUAGUGAAUUUAAUUUUCCCGUGAAGAAGCGGGAAUAAGCCUAUAAGACGAGAAGACCCUAUGGAGCUUUAAACAAUCUAGCAUCUGCCUAUAUUCUUCAUGUUUCAGAAUUCUCUAGACCUCCUACAUAAUGACUAGAAGUUUUAGGUUGGGGUGACCGCGGAGUAAAACCCAUCCUCCAUAAUGAAAGAAUUUUAAUUCUUAACCAAGAAAUACCUAUCUAAGUAUUAACACACUGACAUUUAUUGACCCAAUACAAUUGAUCAACGAAC
rnacentral:rRNA from 1 species